rnacentral:rRNA from 1 species
UACGUAGGGUGCGAGCGUUGUCCGGAAUUAUUGGGCGUAAAGAGCUCGUAGGCGGCUUGUCGCGUCGGAUGUGAAAGCCCGGGGCUUAACUCCGGGUCUGCAUUCGAUACGGGCAGGCUAGAGUUCGGUAGGGGAGAUCGGAAUUCCUGGUGUAGCGGUGAAAUGCGCAGAUAUCAGGAGGAACACCGGUGGCGAAGGCGGAUCUCUGGGCCGAUACUGACGCUGAGAGACGAAAGCUAGGGGAGCAAAUGGG